rnacentral:rRNA from 1 species
GUCGGUGGCCACUCCCCCCCUGAAUGUGCCUGAUCUUGACUGAGCUCAGAAGCUAAACAGGGUCGGGCCUGGUUAGUCCCCCACAUGGCUUGUGUAGUGGACUUGGUCCCCAGAGGCA